CUCAUAUGCCUUCUGGCUGUUUAUAAAGUUGUCAGUAAUGACUUGGCUAGCUGCAAAUAGCACUUGAUAUUCAUGAGGCGAUUCUACAAUCCUGUAUGUCAACACGGGGAAAACACAGAGUUCUGCCCACAAUGGUUUGUUUUAUCGUGUGCGCACGUGCGUGUGUGUGCGUGUGUGUGUGUGUGUGUGUGUGUGUGUGUGUGUGUGUGUGUGUGUGUGUGUGUGUGUGUGUGUGUGUGUGUGUGUGUAUGUGAGCGAGAGAAGGCCCUGUUUUGUUAAAUCAUGGUCUACACAUGAGCAAAGCAGAGGACAUUCCCAUUUGUCAGUGUGUGGUGCUCCAGGGGAGGACUGUGGGGGACAGCUGCUCGCUCAGGUCACGUGAACCCAAAUUUCUGUUUGGAGGGAAACCAGCUUGUCUCCAGUUGUGCCUCCUAAGGCCAUGGAAGAGCUCCCAGACCAGCCUGAGCCUGAGCAGCUCUUACUGGAGAGACACUGCACCAAGCACUGGAAAGAAAACAAAGAAAUGAAGGAAAGAGAAAACACCUCGGUACAACUGGCAAGAGAUUUUGAGCCAGCCGACAGGGAUCCAGAACUCACAAACUGGGUGACGCCAGGGAGCCGGGAUGGACGCCAGGCGUUGGUGGAGCCUGGAUGGGAACCAGGCGUCGGGGAGCCGGCGUCGGGGAGCCGGCGUCGGGGAGCCGGAGUCGGGUCAGGCUGAAGUCGGGAGAAACAGACCUUUGGCAGGUGGCUUGCAGCUAAGACAACUUCUGGCACACAAAGCUGACGUUCUUCUGGGAGUUGUGUAUGCAGCUUUUUUAUGUGAGUGUGUGUGUGUGUGUGUGUGUAUCGGCUUGGAUGGAGGCUCGCAAUAUUUCUCAGACUAAUUAACACCUCGGCAACAACAACACCAGCAUACGUUUCUGCAUAAACCUCCCAGAAGCUGAGUUUUCAGUUGAAACCCUGAGGAGGGAGCAGCUCGCCAUGUGUGCUUGGAGACUUGUGGGAAUUGUGGGUAGAGUGCUGGUGUGUUUUUGAGUAUGAGUGUCCUACCAAAGGUCAUAUUGGUCAAUUGUUGCGUUUUUAUACGCAACAAUUUAUUGGAGUGUUGUUGGUAUAUAUAGCCGAUAGCCAGCUUGGGGUCAGCGCUAGCAACUACAUCAUAUCGACAAGAUGCACAAAGAUCAGAGAUAUCAGAGUUUUUAUGGCAAACAGACAGGUGUGGGAUGCUAGUGUCUGACUUUUGAUAAAGAAUAUGUGACAUUUUUUGUCAUCUUUGUCCGUCUUGAAGCUCACGUGUACAGGCAGUAUAAUAUUAAAAGUCAAUAAGGC
ensembl:lncRNA